GAUGAAGAACGUAGCGAAAUGCGAUAAGUAAUGUGAAUUGCAGAAUUCAGUGAAUCAUCGAAUCUUUGAACGCACCUUGCGCCCUUUGGCUAUUCUGAAGGGCAUGCCUGUUUGAGUAUCAUGAACACCUCAACUCUCAUGGUUUGCCAUGAUGAGCUUGGACUUUGGGGGUCUUGCUGGCCUACGGUCGGCUCCUCUGAAAUGAAUCAGCUUGCCAGUGUUUGGUGGCAUCACGGGUGUGAUAACUAUCUACGCUUGUCGUUUCCCACCAGGUAACCUUCAGUGAUGGAGGUUCGCUGGGGCUCAUAAAUGUCCCUCCACAGUGAGGACAGCUUUUGAACGUUUGAUCUCAAAUCAGGUAGGACUACCCGCUGAACUUAAGCAUAUCAAUAAGCGGAGGA
rnacentral:misc_RNA from 1 species